AUGUACCGGGCACUCACGCUUUCGGACGUUCCAGUGGAUAACAAUAAGAAAAUUUGGAAGUCCAAGAUUCCACUAAAAGCUAAACGAUUCAUGCGUUAUCUUAGGAGGGGAGUUGUGCUAACCAAAGACAACCUCGCCCGCCACAACCGGCAAGGAAGCAAAAAGUGUUGUUUUUGUGCUCACAACGAGACAAUCAGACACCUUUUUUUUCAGCGCAAGUUUACGCGUUCUACAUGGUCAGUCAUCCAUGUAGCAUCUAAUUUGUAUCCGCCCAUAAGUGUUACCAAUAUUUUCGGUCAUUGUUUGGACAACAGUAUUCCAAAUAGGUUCCAAACGCUAAUAAGGGUGGGAGUGUAUUCCUUGUUAUGGUCGCUUUGGCUAUGA
rnacentral:rRNA from 1 species